AUUUAUAUAGUUUAUUAAAAACAUUACACUUUCACUGUAAAAACAAAGGCCAACUUUUAUAAAUA
rnacentral:tRNA from 1 species